rnacentral:rRNA from 1 species
CGUGUAGGCGGCCGAUCAAGUCGGAUGUGAAAUCUCUCGGCUCAACCGAGAAACUGCAUUCGAUACUGGUCAGCUAGAGUGCGAGAGGGGCGAGUGGAACUCCAGGUGUAGCGGUGAAAUGCGUAGAUAUCUGGAGGAACGCCGGUGGCGAAAGCGACUCACUGGCUCGCAACUGACGCUGAGGCGCGAAAGCUAGGGGAGCGAACG